CGCCGAAGGUGGGGCUAAUGACUGGGGUGAAGUCGUAACAAGGUAGCCGUACCGGAAGGUGCGGCUGGAUCACCUCCUAACAGGGAGACAACAACUGAUUUUGAUGCCUGAAUUAUUUAUUUUUAGGCCAUAAUCCUGUCACCUUAGGUCGAUCGGUACCUCAGUUUUAUAUUGGAAAAACUAAGAAAUUAGUUUCUAAAAUCUUAAAAUUCAGUUCCUAAACUUUGUCUAGGUCACACCCAACAAGGGUACUCCUGGGCCAUUAGCUCAGGUGGUUAGAGCGCACCCCUGAUAAGGGUGAGGUCCCUGGUUCAAGUCCAGGAUGGCCCAUUCGGUGUUGGGGGUAUAGCUCAGUUGGUAGAGCGCCUGCUUUGCAAGCAGGAUGUCAGCGGUUCGAGUCCGCUUACCUCCACUGAUCACCUCCUGAUGACGAUGCUUAAGGAGAACUUUUGUUUGAUUUGAUCUAGAAUUUGUUCUUGAUGAAUGAACCUAGCUUCUUGUCAUACCUUCUGAAAUUUUUUCAAGGUUGAUAGGAUGCUGGGCUCUCUGCAAUUUAAUUGCAGUGAUGUUCAGUAGAACCUUGACAACUGCAUAGGUAAGUCUGGAAAGAAUAAAGCAUCUCAUGGAUGCAUUGUUUUUUUGGGUCAACUAUUAGGAUUCUGAUUUAAUUGGAAUUUUCGUUUGACUUGAAUUGAUAAUGUUUGAUUCUUGAGCAAGAGCCGAGACUCUAUAACGCCCUUUCAUUGCUUAAUUGCUAAUGAGAGUUCGAUUUUUAAUUUUCCUUUUUGAUACUAAUGUAUUAGAUUAUUUCUAUUGUAUUAGAUCAAAUUAACUCGAAAAUUAAAGAGAAAAGUGUUAACAACACAUAGCGUUUUAGAGAUUAUAUGGUCAAGCUACAAAGGGCUCACGGU
rnacentral:misc_RNA from 1 species